rnacentral:rRNA from 1 species
AGAUUGAACGCUGGCGGCAUGCUUUACACAUGCAAGUCGAACGGCAGCACGGGGGCAACCCUGGUGGCGAGUGGCGAACGGGUGAGUAAUGCAUCGGAACGUAUCUUUAAGUGGGGGAUAACGCAUCGAAAGAUGCGCUAAUACCGCAUAAUCUCUGAGGAGAAAAGCAGGGGAUCGCAAGACCUUGCGCUUUUGGAGCGGCCGAUGUCUGAUUAGCUAGUUGGUGGGGUAAAGGCUUACCAAGGCUUCGAUCAGUAGCUGGUCUGAGAGGACGACCAGCCACACUGGGACUGAGACACGGCCCAGACUCCUACGGGAGCAGCAGGUGGGAUUUGGACAAGUGGGGAACCUGAUCCAAGCCAUGCCGCGUGAGUGAAGAAGGCCUUCGGUUGUAAGACUCUUUCGACG